UUGGUAUUCAAACAACUCUGGAAAAGUAUGAACAUCCAAUUUUGAAAAUGAACUAACGAAUACUGAUUAUAAUGAAUUUAUGCAAUUUACAUAUUGCAAUACAGCAGACAAUGAAAGCCAUGGUGAGACAUGAAUUCGCGAUUAUAUCAGUUUGGAAAAUAUAAACAUCCUAUGAUGAAAAUGGACUAGAAGAUACUGAUAAUAAUAAUUGUUUUAUUCAACAUGGCAAUACAGCAGAUGACUCAAGGAAUGCUGAGACAUUUAUUUGUAUGCAUACAACUUUGGGAAAGUAUGAACAUCCAAUGUUGAAAAUGAACUAAAAGAUACUGAUUAUAAAGAAUUUAUGCAAUGUACGUGUAAUGGU